UACGUAGAGGCCGAGCGUUGUCCGGAGUUAUUGGGCGUAAAGCGCGCGCAGGCGGCCUCGCGCGCCCGACGUGAAAGCCCCCGGCUUAACCGGGGAGGGUCGUUGGGGACGGCGGGGCUUGAGGGCGGGAGAGGUCGGUGGAAUUCCCGGUGUAGUGGUGAAAUGCGUAGAGAUCGGGAGGAACACCUGUGGCGAAGGCGGCCGACUGGGCCGACCCUGACGCUGAGGCGCGAAGGCGUGGGGAGCAAACAGG
rnacentral:rRNA from 1 species